AUGUUUUUCCUUUUGAAUUGCAUGUUUUGUUAUGUAAGACACGAUGACAGCCAAAUUUACCAUAGACUAAUUGACUGCCCAUGCAUGGCCCCGGGCCAACAAAUGAAUGAGUUUAACGAUGCUCAUUUUACUCCUCAUGAAGUGAGCCACAACAUAAACACUAGUAUCUUCAUGCACCCCUCUAGCUGCUCUUUCUUGUUGAACUUGUCAUUCAUCGUCUUCUCUUUUCAUACGCCAUUCAUCCUCUGGAUGUGGUUUAUGUGUUGUUUUAUUGAUUCACUGUACUAUGCACGCCGUGCAACGUGA
rnacentral:rRNA from 1 species